rnacentral:rRNA from 1 species
CCUACGGGUGGCAGCAGUGGGGGAUAUUGCACAAUGGGGGGAACCCUGAUGCAGCGACGCCGCGUGGGUGAAGGAGUGCUUCGGCAUGUAAAGCCCUAUCGGCAGGGAAGAAGCAAGACGGUACCUGACUAAGAAGCCCCGGCUAACUACGUGCCAGCAGCCGCGGUAAUACGUAGGGGGCGAGGGUUAUCCGGAUUCACUGGGUGUAAAGGGAGCGUAGACGGCCAUGCAAGCCAGGGGUGAAAACCCGGGGCCCAACCCCGGGACUGCCCUUGGGACUGUGCGGCUAGAGUGCGGGAGGGGCAGGCGGAAUUCCUGGUGUAGCGGUGAAAUGCGUAGAUAUCAGGAGGAACACCGGCGGCGAAGGCGGCCUGCUGGACUGCGACUGACGUUGAGGCUCGAAAGCGUGGGGAGCGAACAGGAUUAGAUACCCGGGUAGUC